GCCCUCGCGGCCAAUCCAAGGGCUGAGCGCGUGUCCCUUACGCGCUUCUAUCGCCGGGAGGAAGGGGUGUGUGUCGCGCCUGCGCAGUGGUCCUGGCCAACGGCUCGCGGCGCGUGGAGGCUGCUCCCAGCCGCGCGCGAGUCAGACUCUGUUGGGGUCCCGGCGGCGGUAGCGGCGGCGGCGGCGGUGCGAGCAUGUCGUGGCUCUUCGGCAUUAACAAGGGCCCCAAGGGUGAAGGCGCGGGGCCGCUGCCACCUUUGCCGCCCGCGCAGCCCGGGGCCGAGGGCGGCGGGGACCGCGGCUUGGGAGACCGCCCGGCGCCCAAGGACAAAUGGAGCAACUUCGACCCCACCGGCCUGGAGCGCGCCGCCAAGGCGGCGCGCGAGCUGGAGCACUCGCGUUACGCCAAGGACGCCCUGAAUCUGGCGCAGAUGCAGGAGCAGACACUGCAGUGGGAGCAACAGUCCAAGCUCAAAGAGUACGAGGCCGCCGUGGAGCAGCUCAAGAGCGAGCAGAUCCGGGCGCAGGCAGAGGAGAGGAGGAAGACCCUGAGCGAGGAGACCCGGCAGCAUCAGGCCAGGGCCCAGUAUCAAGACAAGCUGGCCCGGCAGCGCUAUGAGGACCAAUUGAAGCAGCAGCAACUUGUCAGUGAAGAGAAUUUACGGAAGCAGGAGGAGUCCGUGCAGAAGCAGGAGGCCAUGCGGCGAGCCACCGUGGAGCGGGAGAUGGAGCUGAGGCACAAGAACGAGAUGCUGCGAGUGGAGGCCGAGGCCCGGGCGCGCGCCAAGGCCGAGCGGGAGAAUGCGGACAUCAUCCGCGAGCAGAUCCGCCUGAAGGCGGCCGAGCACCGUCAGACCGUCUUGGAGUCCAUCAGGACGGCUGGCACCUUGUUUGGGGAAGGAUUCCGUGCCUUUGUGACAGACUGGGACAAAGUGACAGCCACGGUGGCAGGGCUGACGCUGCUGGCUGUCGGGGUCUACUCAGCCAAGAAUGCCACGCUUGUCGCUGGCCGCUUCAUUGAGGCUCGGCUGGGGAAGCCGUCCCUGGUGAGGGAGACGUCCCGCAUCACGGUGCUGGAGGCGCUGCGGCACCCCAUCCAGGUCAGCCGGCGGCUCCUCAGUCGGCCCCAGGACGCGCUGGAGGGUGUUGUGCUCAGUCCCAGCUUGGAAGCGCGGGUGCGCGACAUCGCCAUAGCAACAAGGAACACCAAGAAGAACCGCAGCCUGUAUAGGAACAUCCUGAUGUAUGGGCCACCAGGCACCGGGAAGACGCUGUUUGCCAAGAAACUCGCCCUGCACUCAGGCAUGGACUACGCCAUCAUGACAGGCGGGGACGUGGCCCCCAUGGGGCGGGAAGGCGUGACCGCCAUGCACAAGCUCUUUGACUGGGCCAAUACCAGCCGGCGCGGCCUCCUGCUCUUCGUGGAUGAAGCGGACGCCUUCCUUCGGAAGCGAGCCUCCGAGAAGAUAAGCGAGGACCUCAGGGCCACAUUGAAUGCCUUCCUGUAUCGCACGGGCCAGCACAGCAACAACCACUGUAGGUCCUCCCUGUGGGGGCUGAGGAGGCCCCGUUCCCCUCGGCACAGCUCGGCCAGCAGCCCCAGCAUCCUCAUCAUCCUCAUCCCCGCCCCGCAGGUUCAUGCUGGUCCUGGCCAGCAACCAGCCCGAGCAGUUUGACUGGGCCAUCAACGACCGCAUCAAUGAGAUGGUCCACUUCGACCUGCCAGGGCAGGAGGAACGGGAGCGCCUGGUGAGAAUGUAUUUUGACAAGUAUGUUCUUAAGCCGGCCACAGAAGGAAAGCAGCGCCUGAAGCUGGCCCAGUUUGACUAUGGGAGGAAGUGCUCGGAGAUCGCUCAGCUGACGGAGGGCAUGUCGGGCCGGGAGAUCGCACAGCUGGCUGUGUCCUGGCAGGCCUCGGCGUAUGCCUCCGAGGACGGGGUCCUGACUGAGGCCAUGAUGGACACCCGCGUGCGAGAUGCUGUCCAGCAGCACCAGCAGAAGAUGUGCUGGUUGAAGGCGGAAGGGCCUGGGCGCUGGGACGAGCCCUCCCCAUCCUGAGUCCACAGCGAGAUCCACACUUCACGGAGCCUGGCAGCGGACCCCUCCCACCCCCAACUUCCGGCCUCUGCACAUUUAGGAAGUAUUCCUGGGUGGGGCAAGGGCUGUGCCCAGGGCCUCUGUGCACCAGGAUGUCUUGUGGUGGGGGUCGGCCGUUCUGCCCCUCAGGACACCCUGUUGUGGUCACUGGCUAGGGCGGGGCAGGCCUCCUUCCUGCCCCUCGAGACACUCUUGGGAGAUGCAUUUUCCGUCUGGCUCACAGGGGGAGGGGGAGGGGGAGGCUUUGCAACCCAGCUUCUCCACAGGCCACUGGGAGGAUGGGUGCUGGCUGAGCCCCUGUGGCAGCAGGAGCCAGGCGGGUGGUGUCUUUGUUCUUGGCUCCCACAGCAGAGCCAGGUGAGGGGGCGCCUGCUGGGACAAGACCCAGGUGGGGCAGCCUGAACCCUGUUUCCCCCUGUGGCCGGCAUGCCCCGACCUUCACACACUGGUGACCCUGAGAAACCCCAGGCCAUGCCCAGGAGGAGGGAACCUGGCAGGGUGUCUGAGGCCACACUCUGAGCUGGCCAGUCCAAGCCUGUGGCUGGAGCUGGGGUCUGUUUACCUAAUAAAGUCCCACAGGUGCCUCA